CUUACUCAUAACAGAAAUUGAGAAAAGGAAAAUGGAUCGAAUAUGUACUUAAAAUAAUUAUUUUUUCCAGCUGUUAAGGAGUUCAAAAUUGUACAAUUUACUUAUAAUCAAUUGAAUUGGUCACUGGACAGCUCUAUCCUAACGACUGUUUCUCUUUAUCGUUUGCUCUAUAUAUUGGAGUUAUUGAACACAAUUAGCCAUAACAUUCUAAAUAAAGCACCAAGAGACUGCUUCUAUUCUUCUCACUAGACAAAAAGAGACAGGAGCCGUCGAGGCAAAAAAUUGACCGGAAUUGGGGAAGUAUUUUGGUGUAGAAAUGACGACACAGGGCGGCGGCCCCGUAAGGGGUCGUGUUCUGCCACAGUUACUAGUGGCAUUGGCCAUUUUGGCAGUUUCAAAUGUGGUUUCGGCUGACCCUUAUGUUUAUUCAUCACCACCACCACCGUCUGAGUACAAGUCGCCGCCACCACCUUCACCUUCUCCAGCACCAAAGUAUGAGUACAAGUCACCACCACCACCACCAAAGUAUGAGUACAAGUCGCCACCACCACCUUCACCAUCACCACUGCCACCGUAUGAGUACAAGUCACCACCACCACCA
rnacentral:lncRNA from 1 species